UCUGGGAUGGCCGAGUGUUUAAGGCGGUGAACUUAAAAUCUCAUGAUGUGUCCCCGCUUGGGUUCAAACUCCACUUCCAGCA
rnacentral:tRNA from 1 species